rnacentral:ncRNA from 1 species
GUCUAAAAGGAACCAAGCAAUUAUAGCAACUUUGCUUUUUGAUCCUUUGAUGUCGGCUCUUCCUAUCAUUGUGAAGCAGAGCUAACCAAAGCAUUGAGUUGUUCCCCCACUAACAGGGAAUGUGACCUGGGUUGU